UUUUGUAGUCAUACGCUCGUCUCAAAGAUUAAGCCAUGCAUGUGUAAGUAUAACUAAUUGACUUUGAAACUGCGAAUGGCUCAUUAUAUCAGUUAUAGUUUAUUUGGUGAAGGAUACUAAUUGGAUAACCGUAGUAAUUCUAGGGCUAAUACAUGAGUAAAGUCCCGUUGGGAUGUGUUUAUUAGAAUGAAAACCAUAUGCUUCGGCAUGAUAGUGAGUAAUAGUAACCUAUCGUAUCGCAUGCUUAAUGUAGCGAUGAGUCUUUCAAGUUUCUGCCCUAUCAGCUUUCGAUGGUAGCAUAUGGGUCUACCAUGGCAGUAACGGGUAACGAAGAA
rnacentral:rRNA from 1 species